UACCUCCACCACGUUACGCGGCAAUACCUGAGGACAUGUGGGCCGACACUAGGCGCAGUUCGAGGCUCGCGUUACUGGUUGGUGGACAUGUAUAGUUGUGGACGAGUUCUUCGUCAACAGUUGGCCUCCUCCUUAAAGGCCUUCUCGUACAGCAGAAGUAAUAUGAAUAUGUAAUGGUUAUCGUGCAAAAGCCAGAAAGUCGUGAGCAAGUUUCUAAAAUUAAGAGAUGUAUGUUUGGCAGUGGGUUCUGCAGGAAGUGCGGGCGCUGUCGGACCGCAGGCCAAAAUAAAGGACGAUCAUGUGAAGGAGGCACUGAAGAUGGACAAGGGCAGAGAGGCCAUAUUUAUCUCUCAAAGCGUAAGACCUUGCUGGCAAGGGCGACCACUUUUCUUCAACGGUUACCAGUGUUGAAGUAAAAUUCUCCCUGAUGGGGAAGCAUAACGUAGUGUCUUAUGUGGUAAAAAUAAGCCCACACCCUGGAAACACAAAUCGAAACUUUCUCUCUUUUCCGCUU